UCAGCUAAGUGGCGCACGGGUGAGUAAUAUAUAGUUAAUCUGCCCUAGAGAGAGGGAUAACAUUUGGAAACGGAUGCUAAGACCUUAUAUGCCUUUAAGACAGAAGUCUGCAAGGGAAAUAUUUAUAGCUCUAGGAUGAGACUGUAUGGUAUCAGUUAGUUGGUGAGGUAAUGGCUCACCAAGACAAUGACACCUAACUGGUUUGAGAGGAUGAUCAGUCACACUGGAACUGAGACACGGUCCAGACUCC
rnacentral:rRNA from 1 species